CCUUUAAGGUAGACUUUACCUAUUUCAUAGUUUCCAUGAUUCAACUAGCCCUUUUAGCAUAAAUAGCACAAAUUAUGAUAGUGAUUAACCAUUCCAUACCAAAUGAUUAUAACAUUAUGCUCAAACAUAUAUAAGCCAUUUUCGCAUGGCUAUAUACAUUAACCAAAAUAUUCUUCCGCCACUAGUCUAUUUUAUACAUGCCAUAAGAUAAUCCAAAACAUAGCAGUACCAAAUAGUGGAUAGUGAUAGUGUGACUAGUUGCUGACGAUCCCCGAGCCUGUAGCUUCGCAAUGAGAUCUAUAAAACAGAGGAAACAGAGUAAACGGAGUAAGCAUUACAAUGCUUAGUAAGUUUUAAGCAGUGUCAACAGAUAACAAUCAAAUUAUAACAUAGUUGUUCGUAUUUUUAUUUCACUCUUCCUUCGGGCAUACCAUCCCUUUACCGAAUAUGCACAUCUCAUCAUAUACAAUAGGUAGAUAAACUUUCACAUAAAAGUGAGCUCAUGUGACAUAGAUAUAUCGUAUGAUUUCACAUCACCUCUCACACUGAUCCGAUGUCACAUAAUCAUAGGAAUAGUCUCAUAGAUUGCUCUCGUAUGCAUCACAUAACGACCUUAUGAUUUAGUGCAAAUCAAGCUCACAUAUAAACUUGGAGUACAUACCUGUUUAACCUUUCGCAUUGAAUAUAUUUAUAAGCAAUUCUUAUUACGAAGUCUUACCCAGACAUAAUCUCCACACGAAGUUAUCGGGUCUUACCCGGAUAAAAUUCCCACACGUAGUCAUCGGGUCUUUAGAGCUCGGAUAUAGUACGAGCAUGAAGCUUACGGACAUUAAUCAGUGAUAAUAUUCUCGCAUAAAGCCUGCGGGGUUUUAACCCGGAUAUAGUACUGACACAAAUGCCCUUCGGGACUUAUCACAUUUAUACACUUUCACAUCCAUCACGUUGGCCACUCGGCCCUGUCACAUAUAUACACUUUCACAUUCAUCACAUCGGCCAUUAGGCCUUAUCACAUAUAUACACUUUCACAUUCAUCACAUCGGCCAUUAGGCCUUAUCACAUAUAUAUACACUUUCACAUUCAUCACAUCGGCCAUUAGACCUUAUCACAUAUAUACACUUUCACAUUCAUCACAUCGGCCAUUAGGCCUUAUCACAUAUAUAUACACUUUCACAUUCAUCACAUCGGCCAUUAGGCCUUAUCACAUAUAUACACUUUCACAUUCAUCACAUCGGCCAUUAGGCCUUAUCACAUAUAUGCAUGUUCACAUCCAUCACAUAGAAUCCUAAAUCAAAAUAUAGAUUUUCAUGUAUUCACAUCACAAUUAUCCAAAUAUACUUCACAUACCACAUAUACUUUCACGUAUACACACUGUCUUGGCUGAAUCUACAUCUAUCAUUUUCCAAUAUCACAAUUUAGAAUUCACGUAUGGGUUUAAUCAAUAGCUUAUGAGCAACUAAAACAAGUUUAUCAAGGUUUACAACACAAUCUCAAAUUCAGCACAAGCUGUUUUUCCUGAGCAAUAGUCACUAAAUUAUUUAUAACUGGAGCUACAAAACUCCAAAUCACUUUCCGUUAAUUUUUCCUGAAUAUAGACUCGUAUAUCUUCCAUCCAUAAAAUUUCUAGAAUUUUAGGUUUGGCCAAUCAAUACAAGAUUUUUCUUAAAGUUUCCCCUGUUUCACUGUUUGACUAAUCUGACCACUCUUCACUACGAAUCAAAUUUCUCAUUUUACAGAAUUCAAAAUGUGUUGUAUUUGAUUUCAUUUGAAACUAGACUCAUUAAGGAGUAUAAGCAUAUAAAUUUUAUCUUAUAACCAUUUUUGUACAAUUUAUAAUGAUUUUCUAAAAACAGAACAGAGGAUUACAGUGUCAUUCUGUGCUGUCUCACACAACUUUAAAUAUCUCAUUAUCGGAAAUUCCUUUGCUUACACGGUUUCUUUUAUAAGAAACUAGACUCAUUAAGAUUUAAUUUCGUGUCUCAUUCGGCCUCUAAUUCAAAUCCAUAAAUUUAUGGUGAUUUUCUAAAGUCACGUUACUGCUGCUGUCCUAAGCAGGUUUAUCACAAUUUUACUCUUCUGACAUAUCCUUUUAGCACUUUAUAAUAUCAUAUCCAUUUGGCAACAUAUCAUAUCAAUAACUUACCUAUACUUCAUAAUAGCCAUUAGGCUAUAUGCAUAAAAAUUUACAAUAGAGUUAUGAUUCUUUUAAUAUGUGCUUAACAUAUCAUACUCAAUCACAUUAUAGGCUUUAAUACUUAAAACUUACCUCGAUCGCUAAUGUACGUCAAUUCCGACUAUUCGACCAAUUUCCCUUUUUCCAC
rnacentral:lncRNA from 1 species